AAUAAGUACAGUUUUGCACUAUUCAUAUUCAACGUUUGAUCGUUCGUCUUAUUUGAAAAAUUUUUAUGAUUAGUAUUUUUAUUGCUAUAGAUGAUAAAACAUGAAUAUUACUUUAUGUGUGACUAAAUAUUUUCAAUAUUUUCAUAAAUUUUUUAAAUAAGACGGACGGUCAAACGUUGGGCACGGAUAUCCACAGCUGCACUUAUU
rfam:Oryza glumipatula chromosome 3, whole genome shotgun sequence.